UUGGAGAGUUUGAUCCUGGCUCAGGACGAACGCUGGCGGCGUGCCUAAUACAUGCAAGUCGAGCGGACCGAACGGAAGCUUGCUUCUGUUCGGUUAGCGGCGGACGGGUGAGUAACACGUGGGUAACCUGCCCGUAAGACCGGGAUAACUCCGGGAAACCGGGGCUAAUACCGGAUAACACCGAAGACCGCAUGGUCUUUGGUUGAAAGGUGGCUUUUGCUACCACUUACGGAUGGGCCCGCGGCGCAUUAGCUAGUUGGUGAGGUAACGGCUCACCAAGGCGACGAUGCGUAGCCGGCCUGAGAGGGUGACCGGCCACACUGGGACUGAGACACGGCCCAGACUCCUACGGGAGGCAGCAGUAGGGAAUCUUCCGCAAUGGACGAAAGUCUGACGGAGCGACGCCGCGUGAGCGAAGAAGGUCUUCGGAUCGUAAAGCUCUGUUGUUAGGGAAGAAGAAGUACCGUUCGAAUAGGGCGGUACGGUGACGGUACCAAGAGAAAGCCGGGCUAACUCU
rnacentral:rRNA from 1 species